rnacentral:rRNA from 1 species
GAGUAAGACCCCAGAAAGAUGAUCUGGUUGAUAGGCUAGGAGUGGAAGCGCAGUGAUGCGUGAAGCGGACUAGUACUAAUCGGUCGAGGAUUUAACCUC